rnacentral:rRNA from 1 species
AACGAACGCUGGCGGCGCGCCUAAUACAUGCAAGUCGAGCGAGAAGACGUAGCAAUACGUUUGUAAAGCGGCGAACGGGUGAGGAAUACAUGGGUAACCUACCCUCGAGUGGGGAAUAACUAGCCGAAAGGUUAGCUAAUACCGCGUACGCUCCUUGGACUUCGGUUCAGGGAGGAAAGCGAUACCGUGGGUAUCGCGCUCUUGGAUGGGCUCAUGUCCUAUCAGCUUGUUGGGAGGUAACGGCUCACCAAGGCUUCGACGGGUAGCUGGUCUGAGAGGACGAUCAGCCACACUGGCACUGCGACACGGGCCAGGCUCCUACGGGAGGCAGCAGUAAGGAAUAUUGCGCAAUGGGCGAAAGCCUGACGCAGCGACGCCGC